UAGUUUAUUUUCCGAAUUACGAGC
rnacentral:snRNA from 1 species